UCUUCAUAGGUAGAGGAGAAUGAGUGGGUGGUAGACUACGCUUUGAAGAAGAGAAAUGUAAAGCUGGUCCCCACUGGACUGGACUUUGGCAACGAGGGAUUCAUCAGAUUCAAAGAAAGACGUUUCCAUCCCUCUCUCAAACUCUCUCGCCGGUUCUACCCUCACUCCCAAAACAUGGAUGGAUUUUUUGUGGCCAAGCUAAAGAAGCUGUCUAACACCAUCCCCACUGCCCCAAAAGAAACAGAAGAUGAAGUAGAAUCUACAAAAACGGAGACCGCAGCCUCAUCCGAGCAGAUCCAGAAACCAGAAUCUAAGCAACGGAAGCCCUCUUCAACUCCAGAGAAAAGCAACAUGGGCAAGAAGCAGAAAUUAAAACAGAAGAAAUCCGAGCCGCCCAUCAUCAGGAAGAAAGCCGGAGUGAAAUCUGAGAAUAAAAAAUCUGAUGGUCCCAAAAAGGCCAAAAUUCCUAAGUUGGACGGUGAAGCAUCCAAAAAGAGCGAGAAACCUGACAGAAAGCAGAAGGUAAAGGAACUGAACGGAGAUUCAACAAAAGAGGUAGGGAAGGAGAAGAAAGAGAAAAGCCAGUUGGAGAAGAAGAAAAACAAAAUGGAAAGGAAGAAACUGUUGAAGAAGAAUAUAAACAGAAUGGGGAAAAACAAGUUCAGGAAGUUAAAAAAUGUGCUUGGACAGCAAGAAAGUGGACAGUGAAAUUCAGUCUCGUGCCGCAGUGAAUUGACAUGGGCCUGUGUGCUC
ensembl:lncRNA